UACGGAGGGGGCUAGCGUUGUUCGGAAUUACUGGGCGUAAAGGGCGCGCAGGCGGCUGCUCAAGUCAGGCGUGAAAGGCCUGGGCUCAACCCGGGAUGCCGCCCAAGACUGGUCUCCUUGAGGACGGAAGAGGGGAGUGGAAUUCCUGGUGUAGCGGUGAAAUGCGUAGAGAUCAGGAGGAACACCCGUGGCGAAGGCGGCUCCCUGGUCCGUUUCUGACGCUGAGACGCGAAAGCGCGGGGAGCGAACGGG
rnacentral:rRNA from 1 species